rnacentral:rRNA from 1 species
UUAGGAAUUUUGCGCAAUGGGCGAAAGCCUGACGCAGCAACGCCGCGUGAGGGAUGAAGGCCUUCGGGUUGUAAACCUCUUUUAGCAGGAACGAAACAAAUGACGGUACCUGCAGAAAAAGCACCGGCUAACUCCGUGCCAGCAGCCGCGGUAAUACGGAGGGUGUGAGCGUUAUUCGGAUUUACUGGGCGUAAAGCGCGCGUAGGCGGUUCGAUAAGUCUGGUGUGAAAGCCCUGGACUCAAUUCAGGAAGUGCAUUGGAUACUGUCGGACUGGAGUGCAGGAGGGGAGAGCGGAAUUCCUGGUGUAGAGGUGAAAUUCGUAGAUAUCAGGAGGAACAACAGAGGCGAAGGCGGCUCUCUGGACUGCAACUGACGCUAAGGCGCGAAAGCGUGGGGAGCAAACAG